AACGCGAAGAACCUUACCUACUCUUGACAUCCAGAGAACUUUCCAGAGAUGGAUUGGUGCCUUCGGGAACUCUGAGACAGGUGCUGCAUGGCUGUCGUCAGCUCGUGUUGUGAAAUGUUGGGUUAAGUCCCGCAACGAGCGCAACCCUUAUCCUUGUUUGCCAGCGAGUAAUGUCGGGAACUCCAGGGAGACUGCCGGUGAUAAACCGGAGGAAGGUGGGGACGACGUCAAGUCAUCAUGGCCCUUACGAGUAGGGCUACACACGUGCUACAAUGGCGCAUACAGAGGGCGGCGAGCUAGCGAUAGUGAGCGAAUCCCAAAAAGUGCGUCGUAGUCCGGAUUGGAGUCUGCAACUCGACUCCAUGAAGUCGGAAUCGCUAGUAAUCGUGGAUCAGAAUGCCACGGUGAAUACGUUCCCGGGCCUUGUACACACCG
rnacentral:rRNA from 1 species